AUUGAACGCUGGCGGCAGGCCUAACACAUGCAAGUCGAACGAGUGGCGGACGGUUGAGUAAUUUCUGGGAAACUUCCUGAUGGAGGGGGAUACCUACUGGAAACUGUAGCUAAUACCGCAUACCAUCAGAUGUGCCCUGAUGGGAUUAGCUAGUUGGUGGGGUAACGGCUCACCAAGGCGACGAUCCCUAGCUGGUCUGAGAGGACGACCAGCCCAACUUGAACGUAGACACGGUCCAGACUCCUACGUGAGGCAGCAGUGGUGAAUAUUGCACAAUGGGCGCAAGCCUGAUGCAGCCAUGCCGCGUGGAGGAAGAAGGCCUUCGGGUUGUAAAGUACUUUCAGCGGGGAGGCGUUACCCGAAGAAGAAGCACCGGCUAACUCCGUGCCAGCAGCCGCGGUAAUUA
rnacentral:rRNA from 1 species